UUAGCUGAAGCCAAAGAGAGGCUAUUCACUGUUAAUGAUUUUAUUGAUUUAUAUCCAGCUAGA
rnacentral:tRNA from 1 species